rnacentral:misc_RNA from 1 species
UGCUAUUUUGGUCAUGUCCAGUUUGUUAGGAUUAUAUUUUUGGUAUGAUGAGAAACGGAGGAAGAAAAAUAAUUCUAGUUUUCCCUCUGAUUUGGAGGAACAAGGGUCUAGGCCAAGACUGAGGCCAAAUACUGGAUCCAUUUGGUUGAAGAUUCAUGAUCUUGAGAAAGCUACAGAAAAUUUUUCCCAGAAGAAUUUUAUCGGUAGAGGAGGGUUUGGUUUUGUUUACAAGGGGAUUUUGUCUGAUGGGACAACUGUAGCUGUUAAGAGGAUUAUAGAAU